rnacentral:rRNA from 1 species
AUUGAACGCUGGCGGCAGGCUUAACACAUGCAAGUCGAGCGGGGAAGGGUAGCUUGCUACCUAACCUAGCGGCGGACGGGUGAGUAAUGCUUAGGAAUCUGCCAUUUAGUGGGGGACAACAUUCCGAAAGGAAUGCUAAUACCGCAUACGUCCUACGGGAGAAAGCAGGGGAUCUUCGGACCUUGCGCUAAAUGAUGAGCCUAAGUCGGAUUAGCUAGUUGGUGGGGUAAAGGCCUACCAAGGCGACGAUCUGUAGCGGGUCUGAGAGGAUGAUCCGCCCCACUGGGACUGAGACACGGCCCAGACUCCUACGGGAGGCAGCAGUGGGGAAUAUUGGACAAUGGGCGGAAGCCUGAUCCAGCCAUGCCGCGUGUGUGAAGAAGGCCUUAUGGUUGUAAAGCACUUUAAGCGAGGAGGAGGCUACUUAGAUUAAUACUCUAGGAUAGUGGACGUUACUCGCAGAAUAAGCACCGGCUAACUCUGUGCCAGCCGCCGCCGUAA